rnacentral:rRNA from 1 species
AUGGCCGCCUUCGCUCCCGCGCUGCUGCUCCUCCUCCUCGCGGCGGCCGCGGCGACGGCGACGACCACGACCGCGCUCACCGACGACGUGCUCGCGCUGGUGGUCUUCAAGACCGGCGUGGCCGACCCGCUGGGCCGCCUCGCCCGGUGGACCGAGGACGACGACCGCCCCUGCUCCUGGCCGGGCGUCGGCUGCGACGCGCGCGCGGGCCGCGUCACCUCGCUCUCCCUCCCCGCCGCGUCGCUCUCGGGCCGCCUCCCCCGCGCGCUCCUCCGCCUCGACGCGCUCCUCUCCCUCUCCCUCCCCCGCAACAACCUCUCGGGCCCCGUGCUCCCCGGCCUCCUCGCCUCCCUCCCCCGCCUCCGCUCCCUCGACCUCGCCUCCAACCGCCUCGCCGCCACCGUCCCCGCCGACCUCUUCGCCCAAUGCCGCGACAUCCGCACCAUCUCCCUCGCCCACAACGAGCUCUCGGGCUACAUCCCGCCCGCGGUCGCCUCCUGCUCCUCGCUCCUCUCCCUCAACCUCUCCUCCAACCGCCUCGCUGGCCCGAUACCCGAUGGUAUCUGGUCGCUGCCUUCGCUCCGGUCUCUGGACCUCUCCGGGAAUUCGCUGUCGGGGAGUGUUCCUGGUGGGUUCCCCCGGAGCAGCUCGCUGCGGGCGCUGGAUUUGAGCCGUAACCUUUUCGCCGGGGAAAUACCGGCUGAUGUCGGAGAGGCGGCGCUUCUUAAAUCGCUGGAUCUCGGGCGUAACUUCUUCACCGGCGGCUUACCGGAUUCUCUCCGGAGGCUGACCGCGCUGCGGUUCCUUGGCGCCGGCAGCAAUGCGCUAGCUGGCGAGGUGCCGGCGUGGAUCGGGGAGAUGUGGUCCCUGGAGCGGCUUGACCUGUCGGGCAAUCGCUUCGCCGGCGUCAUCCCCGACGACAUCGCGAAAUGUAAGAACCUGUUGGAGGCCGAUCUCAGCCGGAACGCGCUCACUGGAGAGCUCCCCUGGUGGGUGUUCGGCCUGCCACUGCAGCGCGUCUCGGUCGCCGGCAACAAGCUCGACGGGUGGGUCAAGGUCCCCGGAGAUGCCGCGUUGGCGUUGCAUGUGCUGGACCUGUCGAGCAACGCGUUCUCCGGCGGGAUCCCGCCGCAGAUUACUGCCUUCGCGGGGUUGCAGUUUCUGAACCUGUCCUCGAAUUCCAUAUCGGGGCAGCUGCCUGCUGGCAUUGGUGGGAUGCGACUGCUGGAAGUGCUCGACGUCAGCGCUAACACGCUAACCGGAAGCGUGCCACCGGAGAUUGGUGGCGCGGUGGCGCUCCGGGUGCUGAGGAUGGGGGACAAUUCUCUCACCGGCCGCAUCCCGGCACAGAUUGGGAGCUGCAGUUCCCUCGUUGCACUGGAUUUGUCGCACAACGACAUCACGGGACCGAUUCCAAGCACCCUCGGGAACCUGACCAGUCUUCAGGCUGUUGAUCUCUCCCAGAACAAGCUGAAUGGGACCCUGCCAGUGGAGCUUUCUAAUCUGCCCAGCUUGCACAUCUUUGACGUCUCCCACAACUUGCUAUCAGGAAAUCUCCCGAACAGCCGUUUCUUCGACAAUAUCCCCGACUACUUCCUAUCAGACAAUUCCGGCCUAUGCAGCUCCAGGAAGAACAAUUCCUGCGGUGCUGUCAUGCCAAAGCCGAUUGUACUCAACCCCAAUUCCUCAUCAAACCCCUUGUCACAAUCCACACCAAGUUCCCCUAGCAGCAAGCACCACAAGAAAAUCAUACUGAGCGUCUCCACCCUCAUUGCCAUUGCGGGUGGUGCUGCCAUUGCCAUCGGAGUGAUCACUGUAACUGUGCUCAAUCGUCGUGUCCGUGCAGCCGCCUCCCACCCAAAGCCUGCUAUUGCACUAUCUGAUGAUUACCUUAGCCAAUCCCCGGAGAAUGAUGCUAGCUCUGGGAAGCUUGUCAUGUUUGGUAAAGGCAGCCCAGAGUUCAGCACUGGUGGACAUGCCUUGUUGAACAAGGACUGUGAGCUUGGGCGAGGAGGCUUUGGUGCAGUCUACAAGACGGUGCUCAGAGACGGACAGCCGGUGGCCAUCAAGAAGCUCACCGUGUCUAGCUUGGUGAAGUCUAAGGAUGACUUUGAGCGACAAGUGAAGGUGCUUAGCAAGAUGCGGCACCACAACAUUGUCACACUGAGAGGCUUUUACUGGACUUCAUCGCUGCAGCUGCUCAUCUAUGAUUACCUCCCAGGAGGAAAUCUGCACAAGCACCUCCAUGAGUGCACUGAGGAGAACACUCUUUCCUGGAUGGAGAGGUUUGACAUUAUCAUCGGUGUUGCCAGGGGACUGAUGCACCUCCACCAGCAUGGCGUCGUCCAUUACAAUCUCAAGUCAAGCAAUGUGCUGCUGGACAGCAAUGGUGAGCCCAGGGUCGGUGACUAUGGCCUUGCAAGCCUACUCCCGAUGUUAGACCGGUAUGUGCUGAGCAGUAAGAUCCAGAGUGCACUUGGAUAUAUGGCGCCAGAAUUCGCAUGCAAGACGGUGAAGAUCACCGAGAAGUGCGACGUCUACGGCUUUGGGGUGCUUGCACUGGAAAUCUUGACGGGCAGGAGGCCCGUUGAGUACUUGGAAGAUGACGUGGUCGUGCUAUGUGACUUGGUGAGAAGCGCGCUGGAGGAAGGCAGGCUGGAGGACUGCAUGGAUCCGCGACUGUGCGGCGAGUUCGCGAUGGAGGAGGCCAUUCCGAUCAUCAAGCUGGGCCUCGUUUGCACAUCGCAGGUGCCGUCGAACCGGCCGGACAUGGGCGAGGUGUUGAGUAUACUUGAUGUGGUGAGGAGCCCUCAGGACAGUCCAGGGGAUGAGAUGGUAUAA